GGUAUUUUGACCGUGCAAAGGUAGCAUAAUCAUUAGUUUUUUAAUUGAAAGCUGGAAUGAAAGGUUGGAUGAGAAAUAAGCUGUCUCUAUUUAAUUUUAUUAGAAUUUUAUUUUUAAGUUAAAAAGCUUAAAUUUUAAUAGAAGACGAGAAGACCCUAUAGAGUUUUAUUUAUUUUUUUUAUAAGAUUAAUAGUAUUAAUUAUUUUUAUUAAAAAAAUAAAUUUAGUUGGGGUGAUUGAAAAAUUUAAUAAACUUUUUUUAUAUUUGUACAUUAAUAUAUGACUAAUUGAUCCUUAAUUUAAGAUUAAAAGAUAAAAUUACCUUAGGGAUAACAGCGUAAUUUUUUUUGAGAGUUCUAAUCGAAAGAAAAGAUUGCGACCUCGAUGUUGGAUUAAAAUAAAAUUUUGGUGUAGAAGCUAAAG
rnacentral:rRNA from 1 species